rnacentral:tRNA from 1 species
GUGGCUGCUCAGUGGUAGAGUACUUGCCUUGCAUGCAUGAGGCCCUGGGUUCAAUUCCUAAGAACCACG